rnacentral:rRNA from 1 species
GACAGAGGUGGCAAGCGUUGUCCGGAUUCACUGGGCGUAAAGGGUGCGCAGGCGGCCGUGUGUGUUAGAUGUGAAAUCCCGGGGCUCAACCCCGGAACUGCGUCUAAAACUACAUGGCUAGAGUAUUGGAGAGGGUAGCGGAAUUCACGGUGUAGCAGUGAAAUGCGUAGAUAUCUGGAGGAACACCGGUGGCGAAGGCGGCGUUCUGGACUGUUUCUGACACUGAAAGACGAAAGCCAGGGGAGCAAACGGG